rnacentral:rRNA from 1 species
UACGUAGGGUGCAAGCGUUAAUCGGAAUUACUGGGCGUAAAGCGUGCGCAGGCGGUUGUGUAAGUCAGAUGUGAAAUCCCCGGGCUCAACCUGGGAAUGGCAUUUGAGACUGCACAGCUAGAGUGUGUCAGAGGGGGGGUAGAAUUCCACGUGUAGCAGUGAAAUGCGUAGAGAUGUGGAGGAAUACCGAUGGCGAAGGCAGCCCCCUGGGAUAACACUGACGCCUCAUGCACGAAAGCGUGGGGAGCAAACAGG